rnacentral:rRNA from 1 species
UUGAAGAGUUUGAUCAUGGCUCAGAUUGAACGCUGGCGGCAGGCCUAACACAUGCAAGUCGAGCGGUAGCACAGAGAGCUUGCUCUCGGGUGACGAGCGGCGGACGGGUGAGUAAUGUCUGGGAAACUGCCUGAUGGAGGGGGAUAACUACUGGAAACGGUAGCUAAUACCGCAUAAUGUCGCAAGACCAAAGUGGGGGACCUUCGGGCCUCAUGCCAUCAGAUGUGCCCAGAUGGGAUUAGCUAGUAGGUGGGGUAACGGCUCACCUAGGCGACGAUCCCUAGCUGGUCUGAGAGGAUGACCAGCCACACUGGAACUGAGACACGGUCCAGACUCCUACGGGAGGCAGCAGUGGGGAAUAUUGCACAAUGGGCGCAAGCCUGAUGCAGCCAUGCCGCGUGUGUGAAGAAGGCCUUCGGGUUGUAAAGCACUUUCAGCGGGGAGGAAGGCGGUGAGGUUAAUAACCUCAUCGAUUGACGUUACCCGCAGAAGAAGCACCGGCUAACUCCGUGCCAGCAGCCGCGGUAAUACGGAGGGUGCAAGCGUUAAUCGGAAUUACUGGGCGUAAAGCGCACGCAGGCGGUCUGUCAAGUCGGAUGUGAAAUCCCCGGGCUCAACCUGGGAACUGCAUUCGAAACUGGCAGGCUAGAGUCUUGUAGAGGGGGGUAGAAUUCCAGGUGUAGCGGUGAAAUGCGUAGAGAUCUGGAGGAAUACCGGUGGCGAAGGCGGCCCCCUGGACAAAGACUGACGCUCAGGUGCGAAAGCGUGGGGAGCAAACAGGAUUAGAUACCCUGGUAGUCCACGCCGUAAACGAUGUCGAUUUGGAGGUUGUGCCCUUGAGGCGUGGCUUCCGGAGCUAACGCGUUAAAUCGACCGCCUGGGGAGUACGGCCGCAAGGUUAAAACUCAAAUGAAUUGACGGGGGCCCGCACAAGCGGUGGAGCAUGUGGUUUAAUUCGAUGCAACGCGAAGAACCUUACCUGGUCUUGACAUCCACAGAACUUUCCAGAGAUGGAUUGGUGCCUUCGGGAACUGUGAGACAGGUGCUGCAUGGCUGUCGUCAGCUCGUGUUGUGAAAUGUUGGGUUAAGUCCCGCAACGAGCGCAACCCUUAUCCUUUGUUGCCAGCGGUUCGGCCGGGAACUCAAAGGAGACUGCCAGUGAUAAACUGGAGGAAGGUGGGGAUGACGUCAAGUCAUCAUGGCCCUUACGACCAGGGCUACACACGUGCUACAAUGGCAUAUACAAAGAGAAGCGACCUCGCGAGAGCAAGCGGACCUCAUAAAGUAUGUCGUAGUCCGGAUUGGAGUCUGCAACUCGACUCCAUGAAGUCGGAAUCGCUAGUAAUCGUAGAUCAGAAUGCUACGGUGAAUACGUUCCCGGGCCUUGUACACACCGCCCGUCACACCAUGGGAGUGGGUUGCAAAAGAAGUAGGUAGCUUAACCUUCGGGAGGGCGCUUACCACUUUGUGAUUCAUGACUGGGGUGAAGUCGUAACAAGGUAACCGUAGGGGAACCUGCGGUUGGAUCACCUCCUU